rnacentral:rRNA from 1 species
UACAGAGGUCUCAAGCGUUGUUCGGAUUCAUUGGGCGUAAAGGGUGCGUAGGCGGCGCGGUAAGUCGGGUGUGAAAUUUCGGAGCUUAACUCCGAAACUGCAUUCGAUACUGGCGUGCUUGAGGACUGGAGAGGAGACUGGAAUUCAUGGUGUAGCAGUGAAAUGCGUAGAUAUCGUAAGGAAGACCAGUGGCGAAGGCGGGUCUCUGGACAGUUCCUGACGCUGAGGCACGAAGGCCAGGGGAGCAAACGGG